AAGUCGUAACAAGGUUUCCGUAGGUGAACCUGCGGAAGGAUCAUUAACAACAUAUCCUAACUUAAAAACCCUGUGAACUUUCAACCCCAAACUGCUUGAUCUCAGCAAUCUCUGGUAAAUCAUAGUGAACAGCUUUGAUUCGGAGACCUCUGAAUAACCUUGGGCGGUCGCGGUUGGUAAGGCAAGUGACCCGGUACCCUCAAGACCAGUGUUCAAUGAUCUGUCAGUGUUCAUUGACUGGAAUCAAACGUUCUGUCAGUGUGCGUUUGAUUUGCAAGGGUGGCGCAGUAAACGAUCGCUGGAGGCCGACACGGCCGGCGACUGGGUCAGCGAGCUUUGCUCCCACUGUUACUACUUACAAGAUUUCCCAAUUAGUGAAAGCUAUUGGGCUAUAACUAAACGACUGUUAACAAUGGAUAUCUCGAUUCUC
rnacentral:misc_RNA from 1 species